GGCUUUUGCGUUCACAUCAUUUUAAACCGGUAAACUCCUGUAAAGUCCAAGGAUCCAGUAAACGAAUUCAAACAGUAAGUUCAAAACAGCCUAAUGCAGAGAAAACACGGCCGAUUUAAUCAGCGAUUGCGGAAAGAAUAGUGACUUACGUCCAGAUGUCAGUAAAAUUAUUAUUUUCAGCCUGUAUUUGGCUUAAAUGCAAGGGUGUUUUAUAAUGAACGCUGAUUAUGCGGUAGUCAGAGAUUUAGCGAUUCUGAAUGGAUCCGUAUACCGACAUACAGACAGAA